AUAAGAAAGUAAUUAAGGGCGUACGGUGGAUGCCUUGGCUCUCAUUGGCGAUGAAGGACGUGAUAAGCUGCGAUAAGCUUCGGGGAGGUGCAAAUAACCUUCGAUCCGGAGAUUUCCGAAUGGGGAAACCCGGUUGGUUGAAGACCAAUCAUUCCGAAAGGAAAGCAAACUCGGUGAACUGAAACAUCUAAGUAACCGAAGGAAAAGAAAACAAUAGUGAUUCCCUAAGUAGUGGCGAGCGAACGGGGAAAAGCCCAAACCAAUUUUGUUACGGCAAAAUUGGGGUUGUAGGACUGUGACGUGGAAUAUAAAUUUAUAGUGGAAUUUUUUGGAAAACUGAACCAUAGUGGGUGAUAGUCCCGUACACGAAAUAAAUUUAUUACCUAACAGUAUCCUGAGUACCGCGGGACCGGAGAAAUCCUGUGGGAAUCUGCCAGCACCAUCUGGUAAGGCUAAAUACACGUGAGAGACCGAUAGUGAACUAGUACUGUGAAGGAAAGGUGAAAAGCACUUCGAACAGAAGAGUGAAAUAGUACCUGAAACCGUGCGCUUACAAGCGGUAGGAGGCGAAAUAUGAUUUAUCAUAUACAGCUGACUGCGUGCCUUUUGCAUAAUGAGCCUACGAGUUACUCCUCUCUAGCAAGGUUAAAUCCGAUGACGGAUGGAGCCGAAGCGAAAGCAAGUCUGAAUAGGGCGUAUAGUUAGAGGGGGUAGACGCGAAACUUUGUGAUCUACCCAUGACCAGGUUGAAGCUCUGUUAACCCAGAGUGGAGGACCGAACCAGUUAACGUUGAAAAGUUUUUGGAUGAGUUGUGGGUAGGGGUGAAAGGCUAAUCAAACUGAGAGAUAGCUCGUACUCCCCGAAAUGUUUUUAGGAACAGCCUCGAGGUUGAGUGUCAUAGAGGUAGAGCUACUGAUUGGACUAGGGGGCUUCAUCGCCUACCAAAUCCUGACAAACUCCGAAUGCUAUGACAUAUACUCGGGAGUGAGGCGUUGGGUGCUAAGGUCCAGCGCCGAGAGGGAAAUAACCCAGACCAUCAGCUAAGGUCCCCAAAUUUAUACUAAGUUGAUCUAACGAAGUCUGAUUGCAUUGACAGCUAGGAUGUUGGCUUGGAAGCAGCCAUUCAUUUAAAGAGUGCGUAACAGCUCACUAGUCGAGCGAUCGGGCAUGGAUAAUAAUCGGGCAUAAAGUAUAAUACCGAAGCUAUGGAAUUGAUGUAAAUCAAUUGGUAGGGGAGCAUUCCAGUUGCGUCGAAGAUGUGUCGUAAGGCAUGUUGGAGCGUCUGGAAAAGCAAAUGUAGGCAUAAGUAACGAUAAUGCAGGCGAGAAACCUGCACACCGUAAGACCAAGGUUUCCUGAUCAACGCUAAUCGGAUCAGGGUUAGUCGGGUCCUAAG
rnacentral:rRNA from 1 species